GCAUCCUUAGUACAGUGGUUAGUACACUUGACAUGGAUUUAAGUGACGUGGGUUCGACUCCCACAGGACACA
rnacentral:tRNA from 1 species